GUCUGAAGCCAUACCACCCUGAACAUUCCCAAUCUCAUCUGAUCUAGACGCUAAGCAUGGUUGGGCCUGGUUAGUACUUAGAUGAAGUCUUCUGGUUAUAAAACA
rnacentral:rRNA from 1 species